rnacentral:rRNA from 1 species
UAUGGGAUGGNCCCCGCGGUGCAUUAGCUAGUUGGUAAGGUAACGGCUUACCAAGGCGAUGAUGCAUAGCCGAGUUGAGAGACUGAUCGGCCACAUUGGGACUGAGACACGGCCCAAACUCCUACGGGAGGCAGCAGUAGGGAAUCUUCCACAAUGGACGCAAGUCUGAUGGAGCAACGCCGCGUGAGUGAAGAAGGUUUUCGGAUCGUAAAGCUCUGUUGUUGGUGAAGAAGGAUAGAGGUAGUAACUGUCCUUUAUUUGACGNUA